rnacentral:lncRNA from 1 species
CUGGGCUGUCGUUGGGUGGAGGUCCUCAGAGCUGGGCUGUUACUGGAUAUAUGCCAUGUGAGCUGGAUGGCCUGUGAAAGAGAAAGGCAGUUGGUGAUAAAAAUAAUUGGAUGAUUCUUAAAGAAAUAGAAGAGACUUGCUGUUGGCAGUGAGAACCCACAGGAGGCCUCUAAGGAGAUGUAAGUAAGUGGGAUUCACAAGUUGAUGUGAGGCAGGCUGUGAGAAGUUGGUGAAGACGGUUUAUGGGUUUGACCUGCUUGGGGAACUUGCACACAUUGCUCAAACCCCCUGAGCAUCAUUUCUUCAUGGCAAUUGUGAAGAUGGGUUAGGUGGUGCAUGGUGAAAUACAGAGGGGAGCUCUUAGCUCUGAGGGACUUGAAUGUGCUGUGGUAUGACACAAAGGGCUGAGAUAGGGGUUUUAGGAGCCUGUGGUUCUCUAUAAAUAUGAAUGCAGCAUCAUCAGCUACAUCGGGUUCAUUAUCCUACCUCUUUGUUGGAUGUGCUUCCACCUCCACUCCCAGUGCACACCCAUCACACACACAGCCACGUUCAGU